CCACUAAGAAAUGAAUCAGUGUCUUGUUUUGAGUGAGUGUGCAGGACUCAAGAUGUGUCUUAAACUUGUCUGGAAUCUGCAGUUGAGGUCACCUGGAUGUUGACACUUAUCACAACUCUGUUUUUCUCAUGGUGCCUCUUACUUGCAGCUGGGUGGCAUUCAUGUGGGCUCUGAAACUGAAGGGAGCCAAGUCACAAAAAUGUAAGAGGACACUGGACUGUGAGAAUAUUUACUUCACACAGUAUGUUCAAGGCAAUAAACAAGGCAGCCACAACGAAAAAGCAUUUGAAUGAAAUGUUUACGAGGCCGAACCCUAACGAUGACUCAUGGACACCUUUGGAAAGGGAGCCCAUGCUUUUGGAAACCGUUAGUUUCAUUUCAUCAGAUUUGCAGUUUUAUUACACUGAGCUGCAUCUCUGUGACACUGACAGAAAAUUGAAAAGGAAAAUUCUGCAAAUUACUGGAGAUUUUUCUGUUGAGUUUUUUUUUUAUAGACUCAUAAAUAGCUCACCCAAUUUCAUGUGAUUUAAGUAGUCAGUCAUGAUUAACCUUCCUAACUGCUUUUGUGUCUUGAACACAUACCUACAAAGAUAAACUUCACUUGCAAUAAUUUGCAAAAAUCUAUACACUAAAAACAAGGGUGAUAAGCUGGCCCAAUUAUGUUAUGCGUCUUUUAUGCUUCCCCAGGCAGACCAUGAAUAUGUGUGUGUGUUUGUGUCUAUUUCUUUUUUUUUUAAGUAGUUGCUAUUUAAAAUGUCAAGAUAAAUGCAAGGCAGGUAUGAUUUUGAUAAUAGCAUGUGAACGGGAGGCUCAACAGAAGCUGGCUUUGAAAUGAUGCUUAACAUUUGCUAGUCCCCACAAGGUAGCUCCUCGACGGUUGACAGCUAAUAGAAGAAUUUAAAAAUGAGCCCUUUAGAAAUUGGAGUCAAAGAAGAAUAAAUGCCAAGCACAGAGAGCACACACGUCUUCCUAGCUGAUGGAAUCCAAGCUUGUCAGAAGCACAAGAAACUGCUUGGUACACUUCUCAAAGGCUCUGAAAACAAAUGUAUUUGGUUCAUAUUUCUCUUGAGAAAAGUUUAGCAACCCGACAACGCUUUUGCUCUAAGCUUUUGUAGUAGAUUUAAGGGGAAAAAAAACAUUUCUUGUUCUCUAGAAAGUUUUCUCUUUCUGACCUGUGACAAAAUGAAGACUUUAUGUCAUAGGCAGCACGGUCCAGUUUGAUCUGGUUUUCAUUCUCCAUGGAGGUUCCGCAUUUUCUCAUGUCUCUCAACCCCCACACAGCACCCAGGAAUGUCUAAGCACAAUUUCCACAAGCAUCUUGUAAGGGGAGGGCUGAGAUUAGUCCAGGUUCUCUCUUGCCCCUAGGCCCUUUGCUCGAAGGUGAUGAAGGUGGUUUUGGUCACAGAUCCUCUCUGCUGGGGUUCUGUAACACUCUAGGAAUUAGGGGAAAACCUUUUCCAUAAUUGAGAGCAAGUGACACACCCACUUUUCAGGUUCAUCCACCUCCCAGUGGAAUGAUUUCAGUCAAAUGAGAAAGAAAAUAUGUUUGAUCUUUAAUAAUACAGCUCAUAUAAUACAGUAGAUAUAGUUUAUACUGAAGUUACAAUAUAGAUAGAUACAAGAUAGGUGCCUUUUUGAUUAUGCUUGUUUAUCAUUAUGGUCUUGGAAAGGAAACCAAGCAAGCAAACUUCUGCAUAUUCUAUAACAAUAUUUUAUGAUACAUGAUUGAUAUUUUUUAUGGUGAGAAUUGGGAUGCCCUUGACAGAAAGAUAUUACAGGUGGUAGCUGGUUGUAUUUUCCUUCUAAAGGUUUAUAAUAUUAGAAAAAUGCUGACUUACUCAAUUUUUUGAAAAGGUUUUUUUUUGUGGAUUUAUAUAUAGUCGAGAUAUAUAGCAUUAAGUUUAGGUUUGGGGUUUAAAAUACUUACAGUGAGCUAGAUUAGUUAUAUUAUGAGGCUGAAUUCCCUGCAUAAGAUAAACUGUAUGACUUGAUUAUAUUUUAACUCUUUGCUUCUGAUAAUCUGUCCGUGGAUGUGUUGCACUGAUAAUCCGAGUUAUCAUUGCAUUGUUUGGGGGUGGUUCAACAUGAUGAUAGAGCUUCAGUUAAGUAGGAAGCUAUGUAGAUGAAUUUAAAGAUGCUAAAAGUGAAAGUCUCUCUUAAGUAUUCCAUGACCCUUAGGACCUUUUGACAGGCGAGUAGCUGUCAAUAACUGAUGACCAAAGAAGUCAAGACGUUGUGUGAAACUUCUGUGGUCAUUGUUCCUGGAUGUAUAAGACCACUACAGUGGUCAUUCCUGGAAGGUUCUCUGGGCAAAUGUCCCUCCCAAUCUUCUGUAUAUCUACCAGAGCUCCAGAGCUCCCCAUGCUUCUUGUGUCUGGUGUAUUGUAUCCUGGUUGCAUAGCACACACCCACUGUUGUCAUUAUUGAUUGUUAAAGAUGAUUUCCUUUAAAAGAAAGAGAGAAAACUGCACCGCAGCAUUCUUCCUCCGUGUCCGUACAAUGAAUUGCCAAGCAUUUUGGAAGUAGCACCAAGUGUGGAACAGGCAUGAUAUUUGUGGAACUGUUGGCUUUUGACCUGUGAUAAAAACACAAAUUCGAACGAUGCAGUUUGGCUUCUGUUUGCUUUGAAAGUAUGCACAGUUGUGGCUUGUGAUUUAGUUGUAGAACUGUACUGACUUUGAGAACAUAAUGAUCUUGAAAGAAGUAUUAAAUGAUUUUUCUCCCCAAUGGAAGGGAAUCACAGAAUGAUAUACGGUUACUAGUAUAAUUUGGCUUUUGUUAUGCAAGUUGUUAACACCAGCUAUUAAAAUAUAUUUUAGUAGAAAUGCUUUAACUCAUGUCUUUUUCCUCUACACUGUGAAUCUUAAGCCUUGGUGGACCAGAGACACAUUGUGAUGUCCAAAGGACUAACCUAUGCAAAUGAGUUCACAUCUUAUAUUGAUGUCACAGUAAAGGUGUGGUGAGGCGUUAUUUCUCCUCCUAAGGUACAACAGUAUUGAAAUAACGAAGGAAGCCCGGCCUCCCAUGCACUGACUGCAGUCUCCCACAAUCCCUUCAAGGUUACCGAAAUCAUUAGCACUUAUGUAAAUCAGAGUGGUAUCAAUUGAAGCUACUUGAAUGAUUCCGGGCAGAAAAUGACAGGCAUCUUGACUGGCUUUCAUAAAACUAUGUUCUCACAUAUUCUCUGUUCAGGGUGUUGGCAUUCUGUGUCUUCUAUCUGUAUUUGUAAAGCCUUAUGAUGAAUUGAUUUCCUAUCAACACACUCGGUUUGCUUAAAUAAAUUCAGGAUGUAACAC
rnacentral:lncRNA from 1 species